rnacentral:lncRNA from 1 species
CAAGGUCCAAUAAUUUUGCACCACGUAAUGCAAUAUGGCAAUACACCCUAUAUAUGUAUCAGGAUUGUUAAAAUUAUUUCGUUUAUAUAAAGAAAUCUGUAAAUUGUGAUAUACAUUCAGUGCAAGAGUGAUUUAUGUGAAAAUAAAAAAUAAAAAAAUUGUAAAGUUUAAAAAAAAAAACAUUUCCUUCAAAAUAUUGAGACAAGACAUAGUACGUACACAUUAAGAAGCAUUAUAUUUAUUAUUAUUUAUUUCUGCCACCCUGUUUCAGUAAAUAUAGUCAAUUCACACGAGUUAAAAAGGAAAAGGGUUAUCUUGAAAUUUACAAUUUAAAAAAAAAUAGAAAAAUUCGAAAACAGUAUGUUAAAGCGAUAACAGGCUCAGAUCUGUUGUUGAAUCGGAGAAGAGAAUCGACCUCGCCAUGGCUGCAGAAUUACAGGUUGCAUAUGAAAAGGAAAAUCCAAAUUCACAUACCAUCCAGAUCGCCACGCCAAGAUACGGGUCGAAUUAUCUGAACCUCCGAUCUAUAAGCUUGGAAGAUUUAAGAAACAUCAUCAUAGCCUAUUAUUCGAGGAUCAAACUGGUAACCACACAUUCCUUCGGACCUCAAAAUCACUUCCAAACAAGCUCUCUAAGUGUAUGUUUGUCUUUCGAUAUAACGGUUGUCAAACAGGAGCUAAAUUAAACCAUUUAUAAAUAGUUUCCAAACGGAGGAUGAAAUAUAAAAACGUAAAAGGCCUCGUAAUAGGAAACCAUAGGAAAUUUUCUGUAUGAAGGGCUGUUGAUUUUGGUUCAAAAUCAUUGGCCGUACAGAGAGGGGUAACCACCCUUAAAGAAUUCCCAGUCUCUCUGUAAACCUCAUUCUUCUCU